rnacentral:hammerhead_ribozyme from 1 species
NCACUGCUGAUUAGUCCAAUAAUAGGACGAAACGGCCGUCCAGUGU